UGGGGAAUAUUGGACAAUGGGCGAAAGCCUGAUCCAGCCAUGCCGCGUGUGUGAAGAAGGCCUUUUGGUUGUAAAGCACUUUAAGUGGGGAGGAAAAGCUUAUGGUUAAUACCCAUAAGCCCUGACGUUACCCACAGAAUAAGCACCGGCUAACUCUGUGCCAGCAGCCGCGGUAAUACAGAGGGUGCAAGCGUUAAUCGGAAUUACUGGGCGUAAAGCGCGCGUAGGUGGUUAUUUAAGUCAGAUGUGAAAGCCUCGGGCUUAACCUGGGAACUGCAUCUGAUACUGGAUAACUAGAGUAGGUGAGAGGGGAGUAGAAUUCCAGGUGUAGCGGUGAAAUGCGUAGAGAUCUGGAGGAAUACCGAUGGCGAAGGCAGCUCCCUGGCAUCAUACUGACACUGAGGUGCGAAAGCGUGGGUAGCAAACAGGAUUAGAUACCCUGGUAGUCCACGCCGUAAACGAUGUCUACCAGUCGUUGGGUCUUUUAAAGACUUAGUGACGCAGUUAACGCAAUAAGUAGACCGCCUGGGGAGUACGGCCGCAAGGUU
rnacentral:rRNA from 1 species